GAUGAACGCUAGCGGGAGGCCUAACACAUGCAAGCCGAGCGGUAUUUCUUCUUCGGGAGAGAGAGAGCGGCGUACGGGUGCGGAACACGUGUGCAACCUGCCUUUAUCUAGAGGAUAGCCUUUCGAAAGGACGAUUAAUACUCUAUAAUAUAUUAAUUGGCAUCAAUUGAUAUUGAAAACUCCGUUGGAUAGAGAUGGGCACGCGCAAGAUUAGCUAGUUGGUGAGGUAACGGCUCACCAAGGCAAUGAUCUUUAGUGGGCCUGAGAGGGUGAUACCCCACACUAGUACUGUGCCACAGACCAGACUCCUACGGGAGGAAGAAGUGAGGAAUAUUGGUCAAUGGGUGCAAGCCUGAACCAGCCAUCCCGCGUGUAUGAUUAAGGUCCUAUGGAUUGUACACUUCUUUUGUGUAGGGAUAAACCUAUCCUCGUGAGGGUAGCUGAAGGUACUAUACGAAUAAGCGCCGGCUAACUCCGUGCCAGACGCCGCAGUAACAC
rnacentral:rRNA from 1 species